UCCGGGACCCCUCACUCAGUGCAGAGGGAAAUUGACACAGCCAUGAUGAGGCCUGGCUCACAAGAGCCAUAGUUACUGUAGGAGUUUCUGUGGCUAAAUAUGCUUAGCUAUUGAGGCAAGGACAUGUGCUGGAUGUGUAUGCAGUCUUUGAAGCUGGAGAGGCCUGUGUUGGAAACUGUGCUCUGUCCCAUGCCAGUUCCCUGACCUUGGAACCCCUAGAGCAAUCAACAGACAGACAGAGCCCUGCUUCAUGGAGCGUCUGCUCUCUCCUGGAGCUCACACGCUGAAACAGACAGGAUGCAACACCUCAGGGUUGUUGGAGAACCAGAACCCAUGUCGUUACAAGAAGAGGAGUUUGGAAUGCAGACAUGAAUAGAAGGAAGACCAUGUGAAGACACAGCAGGAAGACGCCAUCUACAAGCUAAGAAGAGAGGCCUUAGAGGAAGCCAGCCCUGCCAACACUUUGAUUUCAAACUUCCAGCCUCUAGAACUGUAAGAAAAAUACAUUUGUGUUGUUUAAGCCACCCAGUCUGUGGUACUUUAUUAUAGCAACUCCAGAAAACUAAUACAUGGGCUGACA
rnacentral:lncRNA from 10 species